rfam:Anaerotruncus colihominis DSM 17241 Scfld_02_14 genomic scaffold, whole genome shotgun sequence.
AAUUAAAUCGUGGGGAGCUUGCAGACAGGCUGAGAGGAAACUGUGCGUUUCGACCCGUAUACCUGAUUUGGGUAAUGCCAACGUAGGGAGACUUUGCUGGAUUCAG